GGCUGUUCCCGCAAGGGGGGGGGGCGGAUUUUCUCUCCUGCCAGCCCGCUCUCUCGCGGCUGUUUAUUCCCGUCCUUCUCCCACCCCCCAGUCUGCCGUAUUUAAAUAGGCAAAUGCAUCUACAAGGACGCAAUAAUUUAGCUUGUUUGGUCUUAGGCAUUUUCUACAGGACCCCAAGAGAUGGACCUUCCUCUCUCCUUCCUCCCUCUAGAACUGGCAUCUUCAUCUCUGUCUGUGUAGGCCCAAUUAUCCAGGUCCUUGGGGCUGCAAGAGGGUCUGAGUCAUUGGAACCAGGAACACUUGGCUGAAACGCAAUAUAAUUAGAUUUUCUUUUUCUUUUCUUUUACCUUUCUUUUUUCUCCUCUUUUCUUUUCUUUAGAAAAGAGGGCUGGAAUUAGCCUCCUCGACUGGGGCGGAGUAGCCGGGGUAGGGAAAGGAACACCUUCUUACCACGACCCAACUCGCAGCCCCUUUGGAGAGAUCUACGGGCUUCAGAGCCCGGACUCCCUUCCUGUCCUCGGCCUCGCGGCUGGCCGCGGCCGCCUCCUCUUUCUCCUCCUCCUCCUCCUCUUCUUCCUCCAAUCCUGUUUUUUUUCCCCCUGCCCCCACUGUCUUCUCUUCGCUUUAAUUAAAGUUCAGCGACUCCACUAGCCUCUCAUCUCUCUCAGAAAGCGGAAACCGGACAGCCCAGCAGCCGCAGGCCCAGCCGCCCCAGCACAACUCCUGCGUGCGCUGGAGGGGCCUCCCUCGCCCGCCUCCCUCCGUCGGCUGUGGCCUCUGAACCCGGGUCUCCUGCCCCUCCGCCAUCCCGCAGGUGUGCAGCGCUUGGCCUGGGAGAUCCGAAUGACUGGGGCCGGAUACGAGGGUCCUCAUCUUCCCCCAGACCCUCAGGCUUGCUCCAGAAAGUUUGGACGGAAGCGAAGACCACAGUGCUGGAUCCGGCGACAUCCACCUCAUUUUCUCCAGGCCUCUCCUCUUGCCGGAGCUCUCAGCCACCGGGAGACAGACGGACGCCGCUUCCAGGCUGCUUUGUGCGCGGACACUGCCCCCAGCCCACUCCUGCUCGGUUUCUUUCCCAAAGUCCGGCGACCUCCAGGCCUUCUUGGGGGAAAUACCGGUACCCAGACAUCUCAGCUCCCUGUUAUAUGUGACCUGACCGGGCUCACUUCAGGAACAUGUUACAAAGAAGAAGAAGAAAGAACCGCUUUGAGCGGUGUUUACAUCUAGUUCUACUGAUCCAUUCACAUCUGGAGAGUUUAUUUAUAACUCCCUCUAUAACUCUCUCUGUUUGGAGGCGCUGGAGGCUCUAUUGACAGACUGAUGUCUAGAAAAUAUUGCUCUGUUUCUAACCAUACCUAAAUGUGCUGUGGUUGUAUUUGCAGAUUUAUGUUUCAGGAAAAUAUAAUUAUUUCCAUUGUAUUUGUGCAUAUACAAUAGUUAUAGGAGCAGAUUUAUAUAUGGGAAAAUAUACGACUCUCUUAUAGCCAUCCAGCUUUAUGGACAUUUGAUUUCCUGACAGAUUUAUAUCUCUGAACAGCUAUAUAGAUAAAUGUAUAUUGUUAGAAUUA